UACAGAGGGUGCAAGCGUUAAGUCGGAAUUACUGGGCGUAAAGCGCGCGUAGGCGGCUGAUUAAGUCAGGUGUGAAAGCCCCGGGCUCAACCUGGGAAUUGCAUUUGAGACUGAAUAGCUAGGGUGCGGAAGAGGGAUGCGGAAUUCCAGGUGUAGCGGUGAAAUGCGUAGAUAUCUGGAGGAACACCGGUGGCGAAGGCGGCAUCCUGGACCGACACUGACGCUGAGGAGCGAAAGCCAGGGGAGCAAACGGG
rnacentral:rRNA from 1 species